UACAGGGGGUGCAAACGUUGCUCGGAAUUAUUGGGCGUAAAGCGCGCGUAGGCGGCUACCUAAGUCGGAUGUGAAAGCCCCUGGCCUAACUGGGGAAGUGCACCCGAAACUGGGUAGCUAGAGUGCAAAAGAGGGUCGCGGAAUUCCCGGUGUAGAGGUGAAAUUCGUAGAUAUCGGGAGGAACACCGGUGGCGAAGGCGGCGACCUGGGUUGACACUGACGCUGAGGCGCGAAAGCGUGGGGAGCAAACAGG
rnacentral:rRNA from 1 species